rnacentral:rRNA from 1 species
UACGUAGGGCGCAAGCGUUGUCCGGAAUUAUUGGGCGUACAGAGCUCGUAGGCGGCUUGUCACGUCGGGUGUGAAAGCCCGGGGCUUAACCCCGGGUCUGCAUUCGAUACGGGCAGGCUAGAGUGUGGUAGGGGAGAUCGGAAUUCCUGGUGUAGCGGUGGAAUGCGCAGAUAUCAGGAGGAACACCGGUGGCGAAGGCAGAUCGCUGGGACGGUACUGACGCUGAGACGCGAAAGCGUGGGGAGCAAACAGG